GACGAACGCUGGCGGCGUGCUUAACACAUGCAAGUCGAACGGAAAGGCCCUGCUUGCAGGGUACUCGAGUGGCGAACGGGUGAGUAACACGUGGGUGAUCUGCCCUGCACUUCGGGAUAAGCUUGGGAAACUGGGUCUAAUACCGGAUAGGAACCAUCUUUAGUGUGGUGGUUGGAAAGUUUUUUCGGUGUAGGAUGAGCUCGCGGCCUAUCAGCUUGUUGGUGGGGUAAUGGCCUACCAAGGCGGCGACGGGUAGCCGGCCUGAGAGGGUGUACGGCCACAUUGGGACUGAGAUACGGCCCAGACUCCUAUGGGAGGCAGCAGUGGGGAAUAUUGCACAAUGGGCGCAAGCCUGAUGCAGCGACGCCGCGUGGGGGAUGAAGGCCUUCGGGUUGUAAACUCCUUUCGCUAGGGACGAAGCUUUGUUGUGACGGUACCUAGAUAAGAAGCACCGGCUAACUACGUG
rnacentral:rRNA from 1 species